rnacentral:rRNA from 1 species
UACGUAGGGGGCGAGCGUUGUCCGGAAUUAUUGGGCGUAAAGAGCGUGUAGGCGGUUCGGUAAGUCUGCCGUGAAAACCUGGGGCUCAACCCCGGGCGUGCGGUGGAUACUGCCGGGCUAGAGGGUGGUAGAGGCGAGUGGAAUUCCUGGUGUAGCGGUGAAAUGCGCAGAUAUCAGGAGGAACACCGGUGGCGAAGGCGGAUCUCUGGGCCUGAUCUGACGCUGAGGCGCGAAAGCUAGGGGAGCAAACGGG